UACGUAGGGCGCGAGCGUUGUCCGGAAUUAUUGGGCGUAAAGAGCUCGUAGGCGGUCUGUUGCGUCCGCUGUGAAAACUCGGGGCUUAACCCCGAGCCUGCAGUGGAUACGGGCAGACUAGAGGUAGGUAGGGGAGAAUGGAAUUCCCGGUGUAGCGGUGAAAUGCGCAGAUAUCAGGAGGAACACCGGUGGCGAAGGCGGGUCUCUGGGCCGAUACUGACGCUGAGGAGCGAAAGCGUGGGGAGCGAACAGG
rnacentral:rRNA from 1 species